AGGAGACCACCAGGAGGAUGGAGGAUGGCCUUUGUCCAGGAGGCUGGACUGCCAACUUCAGAAGAUAAGCCGGGCCCCAGCCAGUGCAGCCACUGGCGGUCUGAGCCCACCACUCACCUUUGAGGAAGUCCCCUGCCUGCUUCCCACUCCUCAAGGCCCAGAUCCAGGCCUCAACUGGCAUUGAUGACAAAACUGGCGACACAGUGAAGGGUGUUGAUCCAAGGGCCUCCUUUAUAAACGCUCUGCACCUAAAGCUCCAUCUUAAAGUCUUCUCAGAGAACCCAACCUGUGACACCUGGUAAUGAGCGGCGUUGAUGAAUUGUGUGACCCAAGUCCUAGAAGGGGACGUGGGUUCGAGCCCUGGUCCGGGAAGAUCCCACAUGCCGCAGAGCAACUAAGCCCGUGUGCCACAACUACUGAGCCCGUGUGCCACAACUACUGAAGCCCAUGUGCCUAGAGCCCGUGCUCCGCCAAGAGAAGCCACUGCAAUGAGAAGCCCGCGCACCGCAACGAAGAGUAGCCCCCACUCGCCACAACUAGAGAAAGCCCGCGUGCAGCAACGAAGACCCAACGCAGCCAUAAAGAAAGAAAGAAAGAAAGAAAAAACAAACUACAUGAGUAAC